rnacentral:tRNA from 1 species
UCUUUGUUAGCUCAGUUGGUAGAGCAUUCGGCUGUUAACCGAAAGGCCCAUGGUUCGAACCCAUGACAAAGAG